rnacentral:lncRNA from 1 species
AACUCUGCCCGGAGGCGACGGGCUGCGGCGGAGGGGGAGAGAGAGGAGGACAGGCUGCGACCCCGGGCUGGGGACGCCAGGGCAGGGACAGCGAGCAUCAGGAAGGAGAGCGUCCGGGGAACUCGAGUGGCCGCGCCCUGGGUCCUGCACCGUGAGGCUGGGGGGACCAGGACCGGCGGGCGCCCACCUUGGUCCUGAGCCCAGCUGCCGACGCUGGGCCAGCACCCUCUCCACCGCCGCCCUCCAGUGAGCAGAGCUGGGCUCAGGCAGCAGCCCCUGGGCGCGGGAAGGUAGCGGGAGCUGCAUUUAGGGGAGGGGGGAGGUAGCAGGAGCUCCGCCAGUGGGAACCUUGGAGUGAAUUCGUCGGCGGGUGCCAAGUCGAAGCGCCGACCUCCUGUCUCUGGACUGGGGCCCGGACCCCUGCGUCCCCAAACUGCGUCCCCGCCUUGCUCGUCGCCCGGUGCCUUCCUUAGGCGCAGCAGACCCUCGGUAAACAGCGGUUAAUUCGAUGGAAUCGGAUCACAGGGCCCUCGGUGAAGCAGAAAGGCGGAGGAAAUCCAGGAGGCAGAAGUGAGGACCCUGGCGCCUGGCGCCGCUGCGUUGUUCGUAUAAGAAGAGGCAUCCCGGAAGGGGCUUCAAACCACUUAGGACCGACUGCUGAAACGAAUCCAAGCUUGUGGUGUCUGCAGAAUUUAACUGUCCGCCUCAACCCCAGUUUUUGUUUCUAAGAUUAUCGAAAACUGUGCGGUUUGAGUGAUGUGCUACAAAGUGUUUAAAACAGAUUGUUUCCCAAAUUAGGGGUUUCCACACAAGAAAUCGCUGCUGUCGGCAAACACAGGAACUAUCUAUGGUUAAGACAAGGUGGUGUUCGUAACCAAACUAUAAACCUACAUAUACGAGGUGGUAAGAGAACCAGACCAAUGAACAGUUUCAGGCUGGCGUGGUGUGCCCGUGAACAAAGAAUUGUAAUACUGGCAAAAAUCUAAAUUGCUUUCUUUCCCUUUAUUUUCUCAUCACUAAAAUUAGGAAAAUGAACAGAUAUGUCAAAUCUCUUCUAACACCCAUGUUCUGUAACUCUCCUCGUAUGUACCUUAUAAUAAGACAAAGGUAAAGACAUUUCCAUGUGCAGCGAGGAAAAGUAAUAAUAAAAAUUAAAACAACUAGCAAGUAUGAAGCCCUCUUUUUAUACGGUAUGUGCUGUAUAAGCACUUCCCUCAUCCACCUCUAUGUUUUCACAGCACCUCUCAAGGGCUUGGACACGUGCAAAUGCAAACUGGCAAAGCCAGGAGUCAAGCCAGGCUGCUCAGUGGCCUUUGUGCUUCACCCCAGUUUAAUGCACCCGUCUUCAGAAGGGACAUCGUGUAUUAGGUGCUUCAACACAAGAUCCACGAAUAUCUCGUACAUCCCUAAAAUCAAGCAAAUGUCAUCUGAACCCAAUUACUGGGACAGCCCCCUCAUUACUCCCACUUACUUUUAGCCGUAUCUUCCCCAAUCCAAUCUCAAGUGUGAGCCCCAAAAUACUUCUGAUUUUUCACGCCUCCACUUAAAAAUCUUUUGAUUAUGUCAUAUUGCCGUUAGGGUAAAGUUCAAACAACUCAGCUGAUUUUGAGGGCUACAUUGGUGGGUGGUGGAGUACUGCCCGCUUUCCCUUCAUACUGUCAUGACAGUGAGGUUCUGAACUGUUCUUUGUGCAAACCCCACACGCUCUCUGCUCUCUCCAUUCCCAUUUUUGCACGUGUGAGUCUGCUGUCUCCUCUUCUUUGCUUCUCCUUUUCCUAAGAUUUGCCAAGCCAACUACUCUACACCUCCAUCGGAUUUUAGUUUACAUGUCUCUCCCCAUGUUUCUCCCCACUAGAAGCCUCCGUUGAUGAUCCCUUUCUAGACUGUGAUGGACGUACCUCCCAUAGCUCCCAUUGCACCAUUGUACUAAACUUGGACCACUGCAACUGUCAUGUGUCUAUUUAUCCCACAUGUAUAUAAACGCUAUAUGUUGUUUAUCACUAUAUCUUCAGUAAUAAUAAACAGGUAACAUAAUUGCA